rnacentral:rRNA from 1 species
CCUACGGGACGCAGCAGUGGGGAAUAUUGCACAAUGGGGGAAACCCUGAUGCAGCGACGCCGCGUGAGCGAUGAAGUAUCUCGGUAUGUAAAGCUCUAUCAGCAGGGAAGAAAGUGACAGUACCUGACUAAGAAGCCCCGGCUAACUACGUGCCAGCAGCCGCGGUAAUACGUAGGGGGCAAGCGUUAUCCGGAUUCACUGGGCGUAAAGGGAGCGCAGGCGGCACGGCAAGUCUGGUGUGAAAACCCGGGGCUCAACCCCGGGACUGCAUUGGAAACUGCCGGGCUGGAGUGUCGGAGGGGUAA